rnacentral:tRNA from 1 species
CGGGUCAUAGCUCAGUUGGUUAGAGCGCCACGUUGACAUCGUGGAGGUCACAGGUUCGAAUCCCGUUGAUCCGA